UACGGAGGGGGCUAGCGUUGUUCGGAAUUACUGGGCGUAAAGCGCACGUAGGCGGCUUUGUAAGUUAGAGGUGAAAGCCCAGGGCUCAACCCUGGAAUUGCCUUUAAGACUGCAUCGCUUGAACAUCGGAGAGGUAAGUGGAAUUCCGAGUGUAGAGGUGAAAUUCGUAGAUAUUCGGAAGAACACCAGUGGCGAAGGCGGCUCACUGGACCGUUGUUGACGCUGAGGUGCGAAAGCGUGGGGAGCAAACAGG
rnacentral:rRNA from 1 species